UACAGAGGGGGCAAGCGUUGUUCGGAAUUACUGGGCGUAAAGGGCGCGUAGGCGGCCUUCUAAGUCGAACGUGAAAUCCCCGGGCUCAACCCGGGAACUGCGUCCGAUACUGGAAGGCUUGAAUCCGGGAGAGGGAUGCGGAAUUCCAGGUGUAGCAGUGAAAUGCGUAGAUAUCAGGAGGAACACCCGUGGCGAAGGCGGCUUCCUGGGGCCAUCCUGACACUGAGAAGCGAAAGCUAGGGGAGCGAACGGG
rnacentral:rRNA from 1 species